UUGGCUCAGUAGCGAAGAUACAGUCGUGACAGGUACCCGUAAGCUUGCUCCCUGGUUGACGAGCGGCCCAUGGGUGAGGACUGUCUGGGAAACUGCGUGAUGGAGGGCGAUAGCUACUGAAAACCGUAGCUAAUACCGCAUAACGUCUCGAGACCAAACAGGGGGACCUUCGGGCCUCUUGCCAUCAGAUGUGCCCACAUGGAAUUACUUAGUAAGUGGGGUAAUGGCUCACCUAGGCGACAAUCCCUAUCUGGCCUGAGAGGAUGACCAGCCACCCUGGAACUGAGACACGGCCCAUACUCCUACGGAAGGCAGCAGUGGGGAAUAUUGCACAAUGGGCGCAAGCCUUAUGCAGCCAUGCCACGUGUGUGAAGAACGCCUUCGGGUUGUAAAGCACUUUCUCCGAAGAGGAAGGUGGUGAACUUAAUACGUUCAUCAAUUGACGUUACUCCCAGAAGACGCUCCGGCUAACUCCGUGCCAACAGCCGCGGUAAUACGGAGGGUGCAAGCGUUAAUCGGAAUUACUGGGCGUAAUGCGCACGCAGGCGGUUUGUUAAGUCAGAUGUGAAACCCCCGGGCUCCACCUGGGAACUGCCUUUGAAACUGGAAAGCAAGACUCUCAUAAAGGGGGAAAGAAUUCCAUGUGUAGCGCUGAAAUGCCAAAAGAUCUGGAGCAACUACGGUGGCGAAGGCGCCCUCCUGGACUAAAACUGGCGCUCAAGUGCCAAAGCGUGGAGCGCAAACAGGAUUACAUACCCUGCUAACCCACGAUUGUAACCAUGUCGAUUUGGAGGGUGUGCCCCUGACGCGUGGCUUCCGGAGUUAAACCGUUAA
rnacentral:rRNA from 1 species